GGAUAAAUCUCAAGACCUGCUAAGGACACUAGUUCACCUCAAUUCAGGCUUUAAAAUAGAUUCUGCUGGGUUUGUGACUGAAGUGAGACUUUAUGAGUGGAAGUCCAACGCCUAAGAACUCCCAAGGAUCUUCACAACUCCUUUUUUUGGUAAUUUCCUCAACAGAAUACUUUGACAAGUACUGAAUAAAGAUAUCUAUUUUUUUUACUCCUUGGCAUGCAGAUCAGUAUCUUCUAUCGCUGAAGUCUCAGACCCUAGUGAAUCAUGUGAGAUACACUCCUGUGAUCCUGCUGCUGCUACUCCUACCAUCAGCUGAUGACAUCUGUGUGAGAGAGACAAGGAGUACGUGAGAACAGCUUCUCUUACACCAGCUGCCUGCACUGUGCUCCUGCCUCUGCUCCCACCAACACCAGCUCCCCAUCCUCCCAGGGUUUGGGGAAGAAAGAUUACAUUUCCAAUUGCCAACACUGAUGGAAGACUGAGAAGAGAACUUAAAGGUCACAGCCCUCUAAACUCAGUGUAGCAGAGGUUAUUGAUAUUGUGCUUAGAAGGCCUGAGCUGAAUUGGAUAACCCAAUUUGAAAAGAGAGAAAUGCAGCAGUAUCCACAUGACAAACACCUAAUGCUUUUUGUAACAAUUUGAGAAAUAUCUUUGCUAGAAAAGACAUCAUCAGAGAGCAAUUUCAUGCUAUGCUUUCUUCUGCUCUACAAACACUGUGUUUCAGCUGAUGGACCUUGUAAGUUCAGGCUGGUAACUGUGCUCACGUGCAUCCUCACUGACCACUGAGAGGGGCUUUGCAAGAAGGAAAGCGUUUACUCACAGAUGCAGUCAGCAAAGCUAGACCAAAAGACUGUAAUGUAUAUCCAGCUGAAGGUUUUUUACUUGCAGGAAAAAAUACAUACAUGGAUCUUAUGUACAAUAAGCAAAUUUCCAGAUCAAAUAAAACUAAAACAUUAAAAAAAAAUAAAGAAAGCAUUUUCAUGAUGUAAAGAUACCUUGCUACUUCAAGACCUUUGAGUCUUCUUUGUGGAUUCCCAAAUGUUUUCUUAAUAGAUGUAUGAACUUUAUCUAAUGUGCUUCAAAAGUAGCACUUAUGUGUGUCAUAUGAAUAUGGCAAAACCAAAAACCUCCGUAUCAUUCACCUACAAUGAUGAAAGUCUACCGAGUUUUGAAAGCUCCAAUUCUGUUAAAAAGAUGAAUAGGCUCUACCAUGCUUAAAUAGUGACAAUAAGUAUCUGAAUGGGCCUAAUGUCAGAAGAAACAAGUGACGGCCAGAAGCGUACUCAGUGGUAAACUGGUCUUCAUUUCUAGAAAUCAAGACCAAUAAAUACAUGG
rnacentral:lncRNA from 7 species